CAACGCAUCCUGGUUGAGUCUUCUGAUUCUUCAGCUGCAGCUAUCCCCCUGCUGGAAGAACGCAUUCAACGGCUCCAGAUGCAAACGGCAAGGCUGGAAGCCACAAUCCAGCAACAAGCCAAGACUAUUGAAGUCCUUGAGACAAUCCAGCAAUCUCUUACCUCAGGCUCUUCUGUGGACACCAGUCUUUGGCACCAUGAUUUUCCACACGCUAUCAAAAACUGUUUUGGAGUGAAGUGUGCAAAGUGAGCCAGUCCCUGGGGCUGGGUCACCCUGCAGGUGUUUCC